GGGGAAUAUUGGACAAUGGGCGAAAGCCUGAUCCAGCCAUGCCGCGUGAGUGAUGAAGGCCCUAGGGUUGUAAAGCUCUUUCAACGGUGAAGAUAAUGACGGUAACCGUAGAAGAAGCCCCGGCUAACUUCGUGCCAGCAGCCGCGGUAAUACGAAGGGGGCUAGCGUUGUUCGGAAUUACUGGGCGUAAAGCGCACGUAGGCGGACUAUUAAGUCAGGGGUGAAAUCCCGGGGCUCAACCCCGGAACUGCCUUUGAUACUGGUAGUCUAGAGUCCGAGAGAGGUGAGUGGAAUUCCGAGUGUAGAGGUGAAAUUCGUAGAUAUUCGGAGGAACACCAGUGGCGAAGGCGGCUCACUGGCUCGGUACUGACGCUGAGGUGCGAAAGCGUGGGGAGCAAAC
rnacentral:rRNA from 1 species